rnacentral:rRNA from 1 species
GACGAACGCUGGCGGUGUGCUUAAUACAUGCAAGUCGAACGAUAAGGCCCUUUCGGGGGUACAUAAGUGGCGGACGGGUGAGUAAUGCGUAGGUAAUCUGCCUCGAGGCGGGGGAUAACGUUGGGAAACUGACGCUAAUACCCCAUAUGUGAUAUCUUGAAAUAGAUAUUAUGAAAGUUCCGGCGCCUUGAGAUGAGCCUGCGUCUGAUUAGCUAGUUGGUGGGGUAAGAGCCUACCAAGGCGACGAUCAGUAGCUGGUCUGAGAGGAUGAUCAGCCACAAUGGGACUGAGACACGGCCCAUACUCCUACGGGAGGCAGCAGUAGGGAAUUUUGCGCAAUGGGCGAAAGCCUGACGCAGCAACACCGCGUGAGUGAUGAAGCAUCUUGGUGUGUAAAACUCUGUCAGUGGGGAAGAAUAAUGACUGUACCCACAGAGGAAGCAUCGGCUAACUACGUGCCAGCAGCCGCAGUAAUAC